GGGUUGUGAGGUUAAGCGACUAAGCGUACACGGUGGAUGCCCUGGCAGUCAGAGGCGAUGAAGGGCGUGCUAAUCUGCGAUAAGCGCCGGUAAGGUGAUAUGAACCGUUAUAACCGGCGAUACCCGAAUGGGGAAACCCAGUGUGAUUCGUCACACUAUCAUUAACUGAAUCCAUAGGUUAAUGAGGCGAACCGGGGGAACUGAAACAUCUAAGUACCCCGAGGAAAAGAAAUCAACCGAGAUUCCCCCAGUAGCGGCGAGCGAACGGGGAGGAGCCCAGAGCCUGAAUCAGCAUGUGUGUUAGUGGAAGCGUCUGGAAAGGCGCGCGAUACAGGGUGACAGCCCCGUACACAAAAGCGCAUGUGCUGUGAGCUCGAUGAGUAGGGCGGGACACGUGGUAUCCUGUCUGAAUAUGGGGGGACCAUCCUCCAAGGCUAAAUACUCCUGACUGACCGAUAGUGAACCAGUACCGUGAGGGAAAGGCGAAAAGAACCCCGGCGAGGGGAGUGAAAAAGAACCUGAAACCGUGUACGUACAAGCAGUGGGAGCACAGGUUUACCUGUGUGACUGCGUACCUUUUGUAUAAUGGGUCAGCGACUUAUAUUCUGUAGCAAGGUUAACCGUAUAGGGGAGCCGGAGGGAAACCGAGUCUUAACCGGGCGUUAAGUUGCAGGGUAUAGACCCGAAACCCGGUGAUCUAGCCAUGGGCAGGUUGAAGGUUGGGUAACACUAACUGGAGGACCGAACCGACUAAUGUUGAAAAAUUAGCGGAUGACCUGUGGCUGGGGGUGAAAGGCCAAUCAAACCGGGAGAUAGCUGGUUCUCCCCGAAAGCUAUUUAGGUAGCGCCUCGUGAAUUCAUCUCCGGGGGUAGAGCACUGUUUCGGCUAGGGGGCCAUCCCGGCUUACCAACCCGAUGCAAACUGCGAAUACCGGAGAAUGUUAUCACGGGAGACACACGGCGGGUGCUAACGUCCGUCGUGAAGAGGGAAACAACCCAGACCGCCAGCUAAGGUCCCAAAGUCAUGGUUAAGUGGGAAACGAUGUGGGAAGGCCCAGACAGCCAGGAUGUUGGCUUAGAAGCAGCCAUCAUUUAAAGAAAGCGUAAUAGCUCACUGGUCGAGUCGGCCUGCGCGGAAGAUGUAACGGGGCUAAACCAUGCACCGAAGCUGCGGCAGCGACGUUUAUGUGUUGUUGGGUAGGGGAGCGUUCUGUAAGCCUGCGAAGGUGGCCUGUGAGGGUUGCUGGAGGUAUCAGAAGUGCGAAUGCUGACAUAAGUAACGAUAAAGCGGGUGAAAAGCCCGCUCGCCGGAAGACCAAGGGUUCCUGUCCAACGUUAAUCGGGGCAGGGUGAGUCGACCCCUAAGGCGAGGCCGAAAGGCGUAGUCGAUGGGAAACGGGUUAAUAUUCCCGUACUUGGUGUUACUGCGAAGGGGGGACGGAGAAGGCUAUGUUGGCCGGGCGACGGUUGUCCCGGUUUAAGCGUGUAGGCUGGUUUUCCAGGCAAAUCCGGAAAAUCAAGGCUGAGGCGUGACGACGAGGCACUACGGUGCUGAAGCAACAAAUGCCCUGCUUCCAGGAAAAGCCUCUAAGCAUCAGGUAACAUCAAAUCGUACCCCAAACCGACACAGGUGGUCAGGUAGAGAAUACCAAGGCGCUUGAGAGAACUCGGGUGAAGGAACUAGGCAAAAUGGUGCCGUAACUUCGGGAGAAGGCACGCUGACACGUAGGUGAAGUGAUUUACUCAUGGAGCUGAAGUCAGUCGAAGAUACCAGCUGGCUGCAACUGUUUAUUAAAAACACAGCACUGUGCAAACACGAAAGUGGACGUAUACGGUGUGACGCCUGCCCGGUGCCGGAAGGUUAAUUGAUGGGGUCAGCGCAAGCGAAGCUCCUGAUCGAAGCCCCGGUAAACGGCGGCCGUAACUAUAACGGUCCUAAGGUAGCGAAAUUCCUUGUCGGGUAAGUUCCGACCUGCACGAAUGGCGUAAUGAUGGCCAGGCUGUCUCCACCCGAGACUCAGUGAAAUUGAACUCGCUGUGAAGAUGCAGUGUACCCGCGGCAAGACGGAAAGACCCCGUGAACCUUUACUAUAGCUUGACACUGAACAUUGAGCCUUGAUGUGUAGGAUAGGUGGGAGGCUUUGAAGUGUGGACGCCAGUCUGCAUGGAGCCGACCUUGAAAUACCACCCUUUAAUGUUUGAUGUUCUAACGUGGACCCGUAAUCCGGGUUGCGGACAGUGUCUGGUGGGUAGUUUGACUGGGGCGGUCUCCUCCUAAAGAGUAACGGAGGAGCACGAAGGUUGGCUAAUCCUGGUCGGACAUCAGGAGGUUAGUGCAAUGGCAUAAGCCAGCUUGACUGCGAGCGUGACGGCGCGAGCAGGUGCGAAAGCAGGUCAUAGUGAUCCGGUGGUUCUGAAUGGAAGGGCCAUCGCUCAACGGAUAAAAGGUACUCCGGGGAUAACAGGCUGAUACCGCCCAAGAGUUCAUAUCGACGGCGGUGUUUGGCACCUCGAUGUCGGCUCAUCACAUCCUGGGGCUGAAGUAGGUCCCAAGGGUAUGGCUGUUCGCCAUUUAAAGUGGUACGCGAGCUGGGUUUAGAACGUCGUGAGACAGUUCGGUCCCUAUCUGCCGUGGGCGCUGGAGAACUGAGGGGGGCUGCUCCUAGUACGAGAGGACCGGAGUGGACGCAUCACUGGUGUUCGGGUUGUCAUGCCAAUGGCACUGCCCGGUAGCUAAAUGCGGAAGAGAUAAGUGCUGAAAGCAUCUAAGCACGAAACUUGCCCCGAGAUGAGUUCUCCCUGAGACUU
rnacentral:rRNA from 2 species